AUACGGAGGGUCCAAGCGUUAUCCGGAUUCAUUGGGUUUAAAGGGUCCGCAGGCGGGAAAAUAAGUCAGUGGUGAAAGCCUACAGCUCAACUGUAGAACUGCCAUUGAAACUGUUUUUCUUGAGUAUAGAUGAAGUGGGCGGAAUAUAUCAUGUAGCGGUGAAAUGCAUAGAUAUGAUAUAGAACACCGAUUGCGAAGGCAGCUCACUAAACUAUUACUGACGCUCAGGGACGAUAGCGUGGGGAGCGAACAGGAUUAGAUACCCUAGUAGUCC
rnacentral:rRNA from 1 species